rnacentral:rRNA from 1 species
CCUACGGGAGGCAGCAGUGGGGAAUUUUGGACAAUGGGCGCAAGCCUGAUCCAGCAAUGCCGCGUGAGUGAAGAAGGCCUUCGGGUUGUAAAGCUCUUUUGUCAGGGAAGAAACGGUGGAGGUUAAUACCUUCUGCUAAUGACGGUACCUGAAGAAUAAGCACCGGCUAACUACGUGCCAGCAGCCGCGGUAAUACGUAGGGUGCAAGCGUUAAUCGGAAUUACUGGGCGUAAAGCGUGCGCAGGCGGUUGUGCAAGACAGAUGUGAAAUCCCCGGGCUCAACCUGGGAAUUGCAUUUGUGACUGUACGGCUAGAGUGUGUCAGAGGGGGGUUAGAAUUCCACGUGUAGCAGUGAAAUGCGUAGAGAUGUGGAGGAAUACCGAUGGCGAAGGCAGCCCCCUGGGAUAACACUGACGCUCAUGCACGAAAGCGUGGGGAGCAAACAGGAUUAGAUACCCUGGUAGUCCACGCCCUAAACGAUGUCUACUAGUUGUCGGGUCUUUAUUGACUUGGUAACGCAGCUAACGCGUGAAGUAGACCGCCUGGGGGAGGUACGGUCGCGAGAGUAAACGUACGAAGAAGUAGAGCGNGAGAGAGCGACGGACGACGACGAGGGAGGAGG